rnacentral:tRNA from 1 species
CGGGGUGUGGCUCAGCUUGGUAGAGCACCUGCUUUGGGAGCAGGGGGUCGCAGGUUCGAAUCCUGUCGCCCCGACCA